rnacentral:rRNA from 1 species
CGGUGGAGCAUGUGGUUUAAUUCGAAGCAACGCGAAGAACCUUACCAGGUCUUGACAUCCUCUGAAAACCCUAGAGAUAGGGCUUCUCCUUCGGGAGCAGAGUGACAGGUGGUGCAUGGUUGUCGUCAGCUCGUGUCGUGAGAUGUUGGGUUAAGUCCCGCAACGAGCGCAACCCUUGAUCUUAGUUGCCAUCAUUAAGUUGGGCACUCUAAGGUGACUGCCGGUGACAAACCGGAGGAAGGUGGGGAUGACGUCAAAUCAUCAUGCCCCUUAUGACCUGGGCUACACACGUGCUACAAUGGACGGUACAAAGAGCUGCAAGACCGCGAGGUGGAGCUAAUCUCAUAAAACCGUUCUCAGUUCGGAUUGUAGGCUGCAACUCGCCU